rnacentral:tRNA from 1 species
GGGCCGGUAGUCCAGCCUGGUAAGCUAUUCACGGCACAGAACGGACGUCGCCCUCACACGGCGAAGGUCGUGGGUUCAAAUCCCUCCCGGCCCA